rnacentral:lncRNA from 1 species
UACUGAUUCUUCUCGCGAGGAAAAUGUCUACAUGGCCAAGCUGGCCGAGCAGGCUGAACGUUAUGAGGAAAUGGUUGAGUUCAUGGAAAAAGUUGCAAAAACAGUUGAUGUUGAGGAGCUAACCGUGGAGGAAAGGAACCUUCUCUCAGUUGCUUACAAGAAUGUGAUUGGGGCCAGGAGGGCUUCAUGGAGGAUCAUCUCUUCGAUUGAGCAGAAGGAGGAGAGCAGGGGAAACGAAGACCAUGUCUCAGUAAUUAAGGAGUACAGGAGCAAGAUUGAGAAUGAGCUCAGCAAGAUCUGUGAUGGGAUUCUUAGCCUCCUUGAGUCUCAUCUCAUUCCCUCUGCCUCAUCGGCUGAGUCUAAGGUGUUCUACCUGAAGAU